GGCGACCGGCGCACGGGUGAGUAACGCGUAUGCAACCUGCCCUUCACAGGGGGAUAACCGGGAGAAAUUCCGACUAAUACCGCAUACGUCCUCCGGGGGCAUCCCCGGGGGAUGAAAGAAUUAUCGGUGAAGGAUGGGCAUGCGUGAUAUUAGGUAGUUGGCGGGGCAACGGCCCACCAAGCCUACGAUAUCUAGGGGUUCUGAGAGGAAGGUCCCCCACAUUGGUACUGAGACACGGACCAAACUCCUACGGGAGGCAGCAGUGAGGAAUAUUGGUCAAUGGACGAGAGUCUGAACCAGCCAAGUCGCGUGAAGGAAGACGGAUCUAUGGUUUGUAAACUUCUUUAGUGCGGGAACAAAGCGGCGUCGUGACGCCGGAUGAGUGUACCGCAAGAAUAAGCAUCGGCUAACUCCGUGCCAGCAGCCGCGGUAAUACGGAGGAUGCGAGCGUUAUCCGGAUUUAUUGGGUUUAAAGGGAGCGCAGGCUGCGAGGCAAGUCAGCGGUCAAAUGUCGGGGCUCAACCCCGGCCUGCCGUUGAAACUGUCCUGCUAGAGUUCGAGUGAGGUAUGCGGAAUGCGUUGUGUAGCGGUGAAAUGCAUAGAUAUGACGCAGAACUCCGAUUGCGAAGGCAGCAUACCAACUCGCGACUGACGCUGAGGCUCGAAAGCGUGGGUAUCGAACAGGAUUAGAUACCCUGGUAGUCCACGCAGUAAACGAUGAAUACUAACUGUUCGGAGGGCGACCUCUGAGUGGUAAAGCGAAAGCGUUAAGUAUUCCACCUGGGGAGUACGCCGGCAACGGUGAAACUCAAAGGAAUUGACGGGGGCCCGCACAAGCGGAGGAACAUGUGGUUUAAUUCGAUGAUACGCGAGGAACCUUACCCGGGCUCAAACGUCGGGCGAAUCAUCCUGAAAGGGGUGAGCCAGCAAUGGCGGCC
rnacentral:rRNA from 1 species